GACGAACGCUGGCGGCGUGCUUAACACAUGCAAGUCGAGCGGAGCGGCGAACGGGUGAGUAACGCGUGAGUAACUGCCCCCCUCUCUGGGAUACCAGUUGGAAACGGCUGCUAAUACCGGUUAGUGGGGGUUGACUGGGGUCUGAUCGGCUUGUUGGUGGGGUGGUGGCUUACCAAGGGGACGACGGGUAGCCGGCCUGAGAGGGCGACCGGCCACAUUGGGCUGAGAUACGGCCCAAACUCCUACGGGAGGCAGCAGUGGGGAAUAUUGCACAAUGGGGGAAACCCUGAUGCAGCAACGCGCGUGCGGGAUGACGGCCGUCGGGUUGUAAACCGCUUUCAGCCAGGACGCGGUAGUGGCAGAAGAAGCACCGGCUAACUACGUGCCAGCCGCCGCGGUAAUUC
rnacentral:rRNA from 1 species